GACGAACGCUGGCGGCAUGCCUAACACAUGCAAGUCGAGCGAGUUGAUCCCUUCGGGGUGAAGCUAGCGGCGGACGGGUGAGUAACACGUGGGCAACCUGCCUCAUAGAGGGGAAUAGCCUUCCGAAAGGAAGAUUAAUACCGCAUAAGAUUGCAUCUUUGCAUGAAGAAGCAAUUAAAGGAGUAAUCCGCUAUGAGAGGGGCCCGCGGCGCAUUAGCUAGUUGGUGAGGUAACGGCUCACCAAGGCGACGAUGCGUAGCCGACCUGAGAGGGUGAUCGGCCACAUUGGGACUGAGACACGGCCCAGACUCCUACGGGAGGCAGCAGUGGGGAAUAUUGCACAAUGGGGGAAACCCUGAUGCAGCAAUGCCGCGUGAGUGAUGACGGCCUUCGGGUUGUAAAGCUCUGUCUUCGGGGACGAUAAUGACGGUACCCGAGGAGGAAGCCACGGCUAACUACGUGCCAGCAGCCGCCGUAA
rnacentral:rRNA from 1 species